ACACGCCCCACCGCGGCAGCGUCAUACCCGUGCCUCUCGCAAGCAAAGGCGCACUCAGCACGCUCACACGCACGCAGCGAGGCGGUGAGACAGAGAGACAGGCAGCCGUAAAACAAAAAGGGAAAAUAUUUAGAUGUGACGCAUGGCGAAUAUUGCGGAAUCUGCCGUGCUGGUGUCCUCGGCCUCCUCGGCGCAGGCGGUCGCGAAGCUGACACAAGUUCGGGGCCCCACGUCGGGCUUCGACAAGGCCCAACACAUCAUCGGUUCCUACUCAACGAUGGGAUUCCAGGCGACAAACUACGGCCUCGCCCGCUCCAUCGCCCAGCGCAUGAUUCGAAAGCAGCCCCCUUCGAAGGUGUAUCAGAUAAAGGAUGGCAAGUACGUACUGGUGCCGCCCGAUGUCGGCGAGGACGGGAAGACGUUGCAGCAAGAGCAUGUCUACCCGAACCUGUUCAUGGGUGUGACUGCCAACCUCAUGGGCACUGGCUGUCGCGAGGCGGUUCGCUUUCUUGUGCAGGAGGGUGUUGUCCAUCGCUCGCUCGAAGCGUCUGCUCCCGCGUCAGCAGACGGAACAGACGACCAGCUAAUGUUUGCGCGACUCAAGAGGGAGUACGUCGAGACGUACGGUGGCCCUCCACACCCGGAUGAGGAGAUACCUCGCGCUCACAGCUUCCUGUGCGCCAUCGUCGUGAGCGGCGGUGGUGUGGAGCACGACCUGCGCCGCGCCUGCACGGCUUACACACUGCACCACUACGCCAGCGAAGCACAAGGACAUGUAAGCAGUACUGUAUCCUCGGAGGCCACAGCGCCGCCGAAAGGCCUACAGCAGAGGGCGGAAAAGCCUCUCGGCACUCGCGCGGCGGCCGGCACAGCGAAGCCAGCGCGCUUCGGCAACGUCGAGUAUCCGCGGCAGGGCAGCACCGGCUCUGAGCUAUUCGACUGCCUCAUGCGCACAUUUGUUCAGCGCCUCUGCGCCCGCCAGGCGCGGUUGCGCGCAGCUGCUAUGGCGAAGCCGAUUCCUGACAAGUACGACGACGUGUGUAGCUGGUCCGUCACCCCCAGCGAGGUGUGGGCGCUGUGCGGGUUGUGGCUGGUCGACAUGCUCGCGGAGGCGCUAGGGGCUGUGCAGAGUUGCACGUCUCGCUUGACGAGCGGUUCUGCGGUGGGCACUGCAGAAUCCGUCACCGCGAACGGGAAGGGGCCGGAAGCAGAUCGAGAUGCACACAUUGCUACAUCGGCGUCGUAUCGUGCGGAAGCACUCGCCAGGGCACGCACAACUGUCGUCUACUGGGCAGCCCUGCAGCAAGUCUCUCUGUUCAGCCCCUCCUUCGUCGACGGCGACAUCACGAGCUACCUGUUGCCCACGCCUGCCCCGGCAGCCCGUCCUGCGCACCGAAAAGGCGGCUCAGUUGCGGACGAGAACGCCGGCAAUUCGAAGGAGUUGAAGAGAAGUCGAAAAGCCUCCUCGUCUUCGUCCACGUCGGCCACCGCGGUGAAGGUCAAGCCUCCGGUGGUGGAGCGCCUGCAGGUCGAUCUCGUCCGUGACGUGUACUCGAUCAACAAGCUCGCCAUGCUCAGCAAGAAGACGGGCAUGCUCAUCUGUGGUGGUGGUGUCGUGAAGCAUCACGUAUGUAACGCCAACCUCAUGCGCAACGGCGCCGACUUCACCAUCAUCCUGAGCAACGGGCAGGAGUUCGACGGCUCUGACGCCGGUGCCAAACCCGAGGAGGCACUUUCGUGGGGGAAGGUACGGAUGGAGGGGGCGUUCGUGAAGGUGUACGGAGAGGUCAGCACGUACCUCCCGCUCCUGCUGGCGGAAGUCUUCGUGCCCGCGGUGCGGCAGCGUAGGGCAACGGACGACGCGCAGCCGUGCAGGAAGCGAUCCUCGCGAGGCGCGCGUCCGCCGCAAGACGUCUCCGGGCACUCCCACCCGUGUCUUGGAGAAUGAUGUCGGGACGCGAAAGGCCGGAGUGGGCUGGUGGCGCGCGCGCGUGGGGUCUGGUCUCGCUUACGUGCGCGUUCAGAGAAAAGAAGGGGGAAGUGUAUUGAAUGGGGUGCAUGCGGCGCGGGGCCAUGCGGCGCUCCGUCGCUCCACGCCUUCCCGCCUUCCUACGCGCCUCCGUCGGUUCGCCGUCGCCACCGCCAUCUCUGUCCUUUGGCGCUCUAGCGCAGAGCCAUUCCUCCAUCACUGCUGCACACAAGGGCACACGCAGGGCAGCAGCACCCAUACCCGGAAGCGUGGAGGGGGUCAGCGGUGCAUCAAGCCAGUGCGCGCGUGUUCAGUAACGCGCAUCGAGAGAAGGUUCACGGCACUCUUUCUCUUCGUGGGCGACAAGAGGGCUCCUACGCCUUGCUGAUCUUUUCCUUUUCUCGAAUCUAAGCCAGCCAUCGAUGCGGACGGCCGUGCGAGUCGCACCGAUGGAAGGGGCGAAUCGCAUCGCGCGAGCAUAAACAGCGACAGCAGGUAAAGCAAAGGAAAGACACACAGGAAGGACAUGGCCGAUCCCGUAGCAGAUGCAAGGCGCACCAGCUUUUACGAGGUUGCGGCGCGCGCAUAAUUGCCCCUCAUACACCCCUCCCCCUCCCACGCGCGCCAGCGGAAUUCAUGAGGAGAUGGCUCGGUGGGGAGUGGCUCUUGGGCGGUGAAAAGCGUGGGGGUGGGGGGCGGAAUAGGGGAGAAAGGGUAUUGCCCACUGGAAGGGCAUCGAAGCGAGCAGAGCGCUAAAAGAGUUG
rnacentral:misc_RNA from 1 species